AUAUCUCUCCGUACGGGAAGGAUGAGAAGCUUCGACUAAGGUUCGAUUCGAGCGCAGCGAGAAAGCGUUGCCGCAGGCAACGACCCGAAGGGCGAAGCGCGCAGCGCUGAGUAAUCCUUCCCCC
rnacentral:sRNA from 1 species